GCAUAUCAAUAAGCGGAGGAAAAGAAACCAACAGGGAUUGCCCUAGUAACGGCGAGUGAAGCGGCAACAGCUCAAAUUUGAAAUCUGGCGUCUUUGGCGUCCGAGUUGUAAUUUGCAGAGGGCGCUUUGGCAUUGGCAGCGGUCCAAGUUCCUUGGAACAGGACGUCACAGAGGGUGAGAAUCCCGUACGUGGUCGCUAGCCUUUACCGUGUAAAGCCCCUUCGACGAGUCGAGUUGUUUGGGAAUGCAGCUCUAAAUGGGAGGUAAAUUUCUUCUAAAGCUAAAUACUGGCCAGAGACCGAUAGCGCACAAGUAGAGUGAUCGAAAGAUGAAAAGCACUUUGGAAAGAGAGUUAAAAAGCACGUGAAAUUGUUGAAAGGGAAGCGCUUGCAGCCAGACUUGCCUGUAGUUGCUCAUCCGGGUUUCUACCCGGUGCACUCUUCUAUAGGCAGGCCAGCAUCAGUUUGGGCGGUUGGAUAAAGGUCUCUGUCAUGUACCUCCUUUCGGGGAGAACUUAUAGGGGAGACGACAUGCAACCAGCCUGGACUGAGGUCCGCGCAUCUGCUAGGAUGCUGGCGUAAUGGCUGUAAGCGGCCCGUCUUGAAACACGGACCAAGGAGUCUAACAUCUAUGCGAGUGUUUGGGUGUCAAGCCCGAGCGCGUAAUGAAAGUGAACGGAGGUGGGAACCUUUCGGGGUGCACCAUCGACCGAUCCUGAUGUCUUCGGAUGGAUUUGAGUAAGAGCAUAGCUGUUGGGACCCGAAAGAUGGUGAACUAUGCUUGAAUAGGGUGAAGCCAGAGGAAACUCUGGUGGAGGCUCGCAGCGGUUCUGACGUGCAAAUCGAUCGUCAAAUUUGGGCAUAGGGGCGAAAGACUAAUCGAACUAUCUAGUAGCUGGUUCCUGC
rnacentral:rRNA from 1 species